AUUGAACGCUGGCGGCAGGCCUAACACAUGCAAGUCGAGCGGAUGAAGAGAGCUUGCUCUCCGAUUCAGCGGCGGACGGGUGAGUAAUGCCUAGGAAUCUGCCUGGUAGUGGGGGACAACGUUUCGAAAGGAACGCUAAUACCGCAUACGUCCUACGGGAGAACGCAGGGGACCUUCGGGCCUUGCGCUAUCAGAUGAGCCUAGGUCGGAUUAGCUAGUAGGUGGGGUAAAGGCUCACCGAGGCGACGAUCCGUAACUGGUCUGAGAGGAUGUUCAGUCACACUGGAACUGAGACACGGGCCAGACUCAUACGGGAGGCAGCAGUGGGGAAUAUUGGACAAUGGGCGAAAGCCUGAUCCAGCCAUGCCGCGUGUGUGAAGAAGGUCUUCGGAUUGUAAAGCACUUUAAGUUGGGAGGAAGGGCAGUAUGUUAAUACCUUGCGGUUUUGACCUUACCGACAGCAUAAGCACCGGCUAACUCUGUGCCAGCGGCAGCCGUAACAC
rnacentral:rRNA from 1 species